UCCUUCUCGUUUGUGAUCGAUGUCUUCAGGGAGAGCUAGAUGGAUAGAAGAGUCUGGAAGAGAGGAAGCUCCAUCAGUAACCUUGAAGAAGGAUUUGGGAUUUGUAUGUGAUGAUCCUCAUCGUCAUAGAUGGUUCGAUUUUAGCUCUAGUAGCCGUUAGGGCGCGUGGUGGUGAGUCGAGCACCAGGCUAGUGUUUUAUAGAAAGCUCUUCUAAAGGCAAAUGGAAGGCGUGAGAGGGGCUAGAGAAGACUUGAAUUUAGAAGAUGGAUCGCUUAGUUACCUCGGUUUUAAAUAAUUCUUAGUUGUAGAUGUUUUUAUCCGCUGCAAAUUGCUGAGAUGUACGGAUUAUCCAUAAAUUGUCAAACUUUGGGACCAUUAUGGUACUUUAUUCCAUCUAUCUGUGUUUUAGACAUUUGGGUUGUUACAUCAAGUUUCUUCAAAAUCAGAUUAUCAAAAUGCUUUUGUAA